rnacentral:rRNA from 1 species
CCCUGCGUCUAGUUGCUACCAUUACUCUCUGGAGCAGUGGAGCGAAUUAGACGGACCGCCACAGUUAAUGUGGAGGAAGGAAGGGGCCACGGCAGGUCAGUAUGCCCCGAAACCCUAGGGCUACACGCGGGCUGCAAUGGUAUUGACAAUGUGUUCCGAAUCCGAAAGGAGGAGGCAAUCAUCAAACAAUAUCUCAGUUAUGACUGAGGGCUGUAACUCGCCCUCACGAAUAUGGAAUCCCUAGUAACCGCGCGUCACUACCGCGCGGUGAAUACGUCCCUGCUCCUUGCACGAAUUCGCCG